GUAUUUUGAAUUAUUUUAUUCGUAAUAUUUUUCAGACAAAGAGUUAAAGAGUUGGUUGAUGUUUGGUCGUUCCCAUAGAAGAGAACGACUGACAUUGCACACAAGGUGGAUAUGGAUUUAAAAAGUGCCAUAAAACACUUACUAUGAAUGAUCCUUCCGCAGGUUCACCUACGGAAA
rnacentral:misc_RNA from 1 species